UACGUAGGGUGCAAGCGUUGUCCGGAAUUAUUGGGCGUAAAGAGCUCGUAGGCGGUUUGUCGCGUCUGCUGUGAAAACCCGAGGCUCAACCUCGGGCCUGCAGUGGGUACGGGCAGACUAGAGUGCGGUAGGGGAGAUUGGAAUUCCUGGUGUAGCGGUGGAAUGCGCAGAUAGUCACGGAGGAACACCAAGCGAAAGGCAGAUCUCUGGGCCGAACGUGACUGAGAGCACGAAAGCAUGGGGAGCGAACAGGAU
rnacentral:rRNA from 1 species